UGUACCCAGAUGGGAAGUUCAGUUCCUACCUGAAUUCUAAUAGCUCCCCUGAGGUCUUCACAGACCGCCGAAGCAGAAAGAAAGGUCAAGUUUUCAAAGUCACAUUCUUACCGUGCUGGCUCUCCACAGCGAGGAGACUCACAGGGACUCACCACAUACGCUAGGCUGAACUUCAACUCCAUCUUCCUACCUCAGCUUCUCAUGUGGCCUUGCUCACAAUAGCCAGGCGAGUCGCUGAGGCACGGUCCAUACAUCUAUCUCCUUUCAUCGCAGGAAGCAGCAUUUAGCAUUUAGAGAGAGCAGAGGCUUGGGAAGGGGAGGCUUUCCACGGUAAGUGACGUAAGUGCCAACUCCCGGUCAAACCCUGUCUGUGUCAGAGCUUGCCAGGUGAGUUAUUCUAGUGAAGUGCGUCUCCUUACACACCCUCAUUACACAGGGGCCACAAAGAACACAGAGGGUUUGUGAAGCUGCGCUUGAGCGGUGAAGGGGAACAAAUUUAUUGCAGCACACCUGGGGGAAAGGGGAACAUUUAACUGCAGCAUACCUGGGGGAAAGGGAAGCAGUCAACUGCGGGACAACUGGGGCCCAGACAGGUGCCUUGGAUUUUAAGUGCAUUCUGUGCACUGGGCUUGGUGGUGCACGCCUUUAGUCCAGCACAGAGGAGGCAGAGGCAGGCGGGUCUCUGGCAACUCUGUGAGUUUGAAAGCCAGCCUGAUCUACAUGAGUUGCAGGACAGCCAGGGCUACCUAGAGAGACCCUGUCUAAAAAAUGCAUAAACAAACGAACAAACAACUUGAAAAAGAGAGUACCUGUUGCUCUUGCCAAGGACCUGGGUUCCAUUCCCAACACCCACAUGGUGACUCACAAGCAUCUAUGACUCCAGUUCCAGGGGUCUAACUCCCUCUUCUGGCCUCAUCUGGCACUGCAUAAAUGUGGCGCUUAUACACACCUACAGACAAAACACUCAUACGCAGAAAAUAACCCAAAAUAAAUUUAGCUUCAACACAUUACAUACUUAUGCACACAUGCUCAUACACAACAUUCAUACAAAGACAACAGCCACACCCACUCAUUCACAAACACACAAGUCCACACACAACCGCACACACUCAUAGACACUCACACACUUCACUUAGACUCCCUUAUCCUUUCAGCUGCACACGACAGGG